GACGAAGGAUGCAAGCGUUAUCCGGAUUCAUUGGGUUUAAAGGGAGCGUAGGUGGCUUAUAAGUCAGCUGGUGAAAUCUCUGGGCUUAACCCAGAAAUUGCCAUUGAUACUGUAGGGCUUGAGUACAGUUGCCGUUGGCGGAAUAUGACAUGUAGUGGUGAAAUACAUAGAGAUGUCAUAGAACACCGAUUGCGAAGGCAGCUAACGAAACUGUAACUGACACUGAGGCUCGAAAGUGCGGGGAUCAAACAGG
rnacentral:rRNA from 1 species